CCUACGGGAGGCAGCAGUGGGGGAUAUUGCACAAUGGGGGAAACCCUGAUGCAGCGACGCCGCGUGAGUGAAGAAGUAUUUCGGUAUGUAAAGCUCUAUCAGCAGGGAAGAAAAUGACAGUACCUGACCAAGAAGCCCCGGCUAACUACGUGCCAGCAGCCGCGGUAAUACGUAGGGGGCGAGCGUUAUCCGGAUUUACUGGGUGUAAAGGGAGCGUAGACGGUUAUGUAAGUCAGGAGUGAAAUGCCGCGGCUUAACCGCGGAACUGCAUUGGAAACUGUGAAGCUAGAGUGCAGUAGAGGUAAGUGGAAUUCCUAGUGUAGCGGUGAAAUGCGUAGAUAUUAGGAGGAACACCAGUGGCGAAGGCGGCUUACUGGACUGUAACUGACGUUGAGGCUCGAAAGCGUGGGGAGCAAACAGGAUUAGAUACCCCAGUAGUC
rnacentral:rRNA from 1 species